rnacentral:rRNA from 1 species
GUAAAGUGAAACCGCGAAUGGCUCAUUAAAUCAGCUACAAUUUAUUAGAUCGUACACUUACAUGGAUAACUGUGGGAAUUCUAGAGCUAAUACAUGCCGAGAGUCUCUGCCAGUAAUGGCAGAGCGCAGUUAUUAGACCAAAACCAUCCGUGUUUCCCGGCACGAAACUUUGGUGACUCUGGAUAACCAUCAGUUGAUCGCACGGCCUUGCGCCGGCGACGUAUCUUUCAAGUGUCUGCCCUAUCAACUUUCGAUGGUACGUUAUAUGCCUACCAUGGUGAUUACGGGUAACGGGGAAUCAGGGUUCGAUUCCGGAGAGGGAGCCUGAGAAAUGGCUACCACAUCCAAGGAUGGCAGCAGGCGCGCAAAUUACCCACUCCCAGUUCGGGGAGGUAGUGACGAAAAAUAACGAUGCGGGACUCUAAGAGGCCCCGCAAUCGGAAUGAGUACACCUUAAAUCG